rnacentral:rRNA from 1 species
GAUGAACGCUAGCUACAGGCUUAACACAUGCAAGUCGAGGGGAAACGACAGAGGAGGCUUGCUUCCUUUGGGCGUCGACCGGCGCACGGGUGAGUAACGCGUAUCCAACCUUCCCGCAAGUAAGGGAUAACCCGUAGAAAUGCGGCCUAAUACCUUAUGUUUUCCUUAGAGGGCAUCUGAUGAGGAACAAAGAUCCGUCGCUUGCGGAUGGGGAUGCGUCUGAUUAGUUAGUCGGCGGGGUAACGGCCCACCGAGACGACGAUCAGUAGGGGUUCUGAGAGGAAACGUCCCCCACAUUGGAACUGAGACACGGUCCAAACUCCGUACGGGAGGCAGCAGUGAGGAAUAUUGGUCAAUGGGCGGAAGCCUGAACCAGCCAAGUAGCGUGCAGGACGACGGCCCUA